rnacentral:rRNA from 1 species
UACGGGGGGGGCAAGCGUUGUUCGGAAUUACUGGGCGUAAAGGGCUCGUAGGUGGCCAACUAAGUCAGACGUGAAAUCCCUCGGCUUAACCGGGGAACUGCGUCUGAUACUGGAUGGCUUGAGUUGGGAGAGGGAUGCGGAAUUCCAGGUGUAGCGGUGAAAUGCGUAGAUAUCUGGAGGAACACCGGUGGCGAAGGCGGCAUCCUGGA